AGAGGGUGUCGCGGAAGAGUGUCACGCAAAUAAGUGGGUGGGGGAAGGAAGCAGAGCAGGCAAUGCCCCUAUUUAUAUUUGGCGUUGGCAUGUCCAGAUCGAUGGGCCAAAGCUCAUUUAGGAAGUGAUGAAUCGAACAAGGAGGAAGGGUAACACGAUGACGUGUUUGGUCUUCAGCCAUUUCUUUACUAAGAAACCCAGGGUCCCUCGGCUACUUAUGUUUUGCCAGACAAUGAGAGUAUGUAGAUAGCAUGUAUGGUUUUUACAUUGCUUUGCGCAGGUUGAGAUGCAUUACAUGAUGUUUUCCUUUUACAUUUAUGAGUAUUAUAGAGUCCUUUCUUUUUCCACAAGGGGCAGUAGUUGUGUCAUUUGAUUCGAAGGACAAAGAGUUGAUCACAAAUGGGUAGCAUUCAGGAUAUAUACACAAAAGAGUAUAAAACCAAAUUAUAUGAUGUAGUUGACUACUAUUUCUAUUAACUUCUCCUGUACACAAUGUUCACGAG